rnacentral:SRP_RNA from 1 species
CUUCAGGCGCUGUGCAAUCGACCAUCGCCCAACCCCGUCAGGCCCGGAAGGGAGCAGCGGUAAGUGAUCGGUUGGUGUGCCGCAGUACGCUUGUUGGGA